ensembl:lncRNA
UAUGAAUACUUUAGUAAAACUCACAGCUAUGUGCUCCAGGAAAGAGUUCUAGAUUUGAUUGAGUGUGCAGUGAGCUGCUGACAGGAGAUGACACUGAUGGAGGGAACACAAACAGUGAUGACGUGGGGCUGGUUGCUGGAGGAGUUGGAGAUGAUGCUGCAGACACUGAUGCUUGUGAAGAGGCAGCAGGUGUCAAAGAUUGAAAGAAACCACACCAAUAAAGAAACAGGACCGUCUCCUCCCAAGGAGUCAGCUACGGAACAGGACCGUAUAUUCUCCCGAAGUGUCAGCUAUGAAAUAGUGUCUCCAGCAGUGCAAAGCUUGCUCAGGAAUGGCAGCAGGUUGGUGUGAGAGCAUCUGCACACAGUGAGGCCAAGACUUUAGGACAACGGCCUGGUGUCAAGAAGGGCAGUAAAGAAGCCACUUCUCUCCAUGAAAAACAUCAAGGACAGACUGAAAUUCAGCAGGAAGUACAAGGAUUGUACAGCAGAAGACUGGCGCAAAGUUAUUUCCUCUGAUGAAGCUCCCUUCUGACUGUUUGGGACAUCCGAAGAAUAAAUUGUUCAGAGAGAAAAUAUGAACGCUACCAUGAGUCCUGUGACGUGCCAACAAUGAAGCCUCCUGAGAUCAUCCAUCUGUGGCUUUUCAACCAAGGAGUGGGCCCUCUCAUAAUUCUGCUUCAAAACACUUCCAUGAAUAAAGAAUGGUAUCAAAACGUCCUGCAAGAACGACUUCUUCCAAGGAUCCAAGAGCAAAUUUGUGAUCCGUGCAUUUUGCAGCAUGUUGUGUUACUGUGACUCAAGUGGUAGAGCUUUGCAUUAGCAAGUGCAAGGUUGUGGGUUCGAUUCCCAGGGAACACAUGUUAGGUAAAUAAAAGAGUUAGCCUGAAUGCACUGAAAGUCGCUUUGGAUAAAAGCGUCUGCUAAAUGUAAUGAUGGAGAACCAUGUCACAAAGCAAGAGUGAUAAAGAAGUGGGUCAAAGAUCAUUACAUUGAGACUUUAGAUCCGUGGCCAGGCAACUCCAGAUCUCAACCUGUGGUCACUACUCAGAAGGUGAGUGGACAAGCAUAAGCCCACAAAUCAUGAUCAACUCUGAGAACUAAAAAGGCAAGAAUGGAUUGCCAUCAGUCAGGAUUUGGCCCAGUGUAGCUUCCUGGCUUAAAAAUGUUGAACUCUUUCACUGAUUCAUAAUGAGCUUUAUUAAAAAUCUGUCACAGUAGAUUUGCAGUAAUCACCAUUAAAUGCCAUAAGACAUCAGGAAUCACUGUAAGAGCUUUACAUGAAAACAAACAAAACAUAAUAUAAAGAAACCAUGAAACAUACAUCAAAUAACAUACAAACUAAUACCCCUUAUUACAUUACAUAAAACAAGAAAUCCAAAACAAUACAGAUAAGUCAAUUUUACCUUAUUCUCCACUUAAACCAGGAGUUAAAUCCUUUAAGUUCUCUUUAACCGUAUGCCUUUGGAUGAAUCAACCAUGUGCGCUCCUUACUACAAUGCUUUGAGCACGCCACAAUAUAUAUGCUUAAGUGGAUACAUUUCAAAAUAAAAGACCUCGUUACCACAAAUGUACAAACUAAUUAUAACAAAAAAAAAUCCAACGAUUAAACAAUACACAUUCAAAACAGACAAAAAUAUAAAUCAUUUAAAUAUGAAACAUUUAAAGUACAUAACCAAAUCCUUAUCACCCAAAAGCUGAUAUCCAGCAUGAAUUGCAGAGGUUAUGAAGAACAAAGGUCAACACUGUAAAUAUUGACUCAUAUUUUCUAUUUUUUUUAAACUUGUGCUUAUCAUUGUUUUUCAGUAUACCAUAGAAACAUGGAAAAAUAAUCUACAAUUACUGAAGCAGCAAUUUUUGCAAAAACACAAUUUUUGUUAAGGACCACUAUCAAAACUUUUGGCCAUGACUGUAUAUAAAGUAAAUCUGAAACAAUUAAAAAAAGGAUAAAAUAAUUACAAACAUGAAAUCGCGUUCCACGUCUCAAUUAAACGUUCCAUCGCAUUUGAGAACGUUUCAACUGACAAUAUGCAGUUGCUCAGUUGGCUAUAACCUUGAGCAAAGUUAACUGAAUAAUCUUUAACCGGGAUUCACUGAAUCUGGCAACCACAGUCCCAUAGCAAAGUUCAAAGUGUGUCCAGAUUGCGCAGUUGAGUUGAUGAGAGUGUGCAGAACGCUUGUGAACACUCAUACUGCUGUG